AUGUUACCUAAGAAGAAGCAAUUGUCGGGUGCUGAAAAAAGGAGGAAAAAGAAAGAAAGUGAUCUAAAAAUUCUAGCACUGAAGGGUUCUUUGAAUAAAUUCUUUACAUCUUCAAGCAAUAUUGAUGUCAGUGAAGAACAAGGGCAAGAAACUACUUCUGAGCAUGCAAAUCCAGAUGUUGAGGUGAAUGAAGAUGGUGCGAGCACAGGGGAGCAAAUAAAUUUUGAAGUUGAUGCUGACAGUACAAUGGAGGAGGAAAAUUUGCAGCCUUCCUCUAAUGAUGAACAGGAAGAUUCCCUUUCAUUUAUUUUUGAUCCAAGAACAUGGGAAGGUCUUGACAAUAGCAAAAGGGAUAUUUUAAUUGAGAAGGGACCUAUUAGAGUACCGGAUCUGGAGUUCGAGAAAGACACCAUUGGUAGACACUUUUCAUAUGCUUUUUACUCCAGGAAGUUAAGUAAUGGUGAGUUUGUUGACAGAAAGUGGUUGGUUUACCACAAAGGUGCAAACAAAGUAUAUUGUUUUUGUUGCAAGUUGUUCAAAUCAAAACUGAGCAAGUCUAUGCUGGCAUCUGAUGGAUUGAAUGACUGGAAGCGUUUGAGUGCGCGUCUCAAAGAUCAUGAGAACAUUGUUGAUCAUUUAACAAACAUGAAUACAUGGAAUGAAGUUAGGUUGAGAUUAAGCAAAAAUCAGACAAUUGAUGACGAUAUGCAAAGGGGGAUUGCAAAGGAGAAGGAGCGUUGGAGACAAGUUCUGGUAAGAAUAGUUUCAGCUGUGAAGUUUCUUGCAAAACAUACUUUGGCUUUUCGUGGAUCAAAUGAGAAGUUGUAUCAAGAUAAUAAUGGUAAUUUUUUGGGCACGAUUGAAAUGAUUGCUGAAUUUGAUCCUGUUAUGCAAGAACACAUCCGGCGUAUUCAAAAUAGUGAAAUCCAUCAUCACUAUCUUGGCCACAAAAUCCAGAACGAGUUGAUCUCAGUUCUUGCUAAUGCCGUGAGAAAUGUAAUUUUAAAGAUCAUCAAAGAUGCCAAGUAUUUUUCAGUUAUUCUGGAUUGUACCCCGGAUGUGAGCCAUGAAGAACAAAUGACUCUCAUUGUGCGUUGUGUCAAUAUGUCAAGCAACCUUCCGAGAGUGGAGGAUUUUUUCCUAGAGUUCCUAAAGGUUGAGGACACAUCGGGGUUGGGGCUUUUGAAGGUAUUGAUGGAUACAUUGAGUUCUUUUGAUUUGAAUGCUGCUGAUGUGAGAGGUCAAGGUUAUGACAAUGGUUCCAACAUGAAAGGACAAUACCAAGGUGUUCAGAGUCGCUUCCUUAAAGAAAACCCCAAAACAUUGUAUAUGCCAUGUGCAUGUCCUAGUUUGAAUCUCACUCUUUGUGAUAUGGCAAAAUCUUGCAAACAGGCUAUUACAUUCUUUGGUAUUAUACAACGGAUAUACGUGUUGUUUUCACGUUCUACUAAAAGGUGGAAGAUCUUACUUGACAAUCUCCCAAAAGGAACAAAACUAACUCUCAAGCCUUUGUCCAGUACUCGUUGGGAGAGUCGAAUAAAGAGUGUGCAGCCUAUCAGGUACCAAGCUAUCCAUGUAAUUUCAGCUUUGAAGGAAUUGGAGGAGACUUCUACUGAUGACCCAGCAGCUGUAAGUGAUGCUCAAUCUUUGGUCAGUGCACUUGAGAAUUUUGAAACUUUAGUUGGCAUGGUUAUCUGGCAUGAUGUUUUGUUCUCUGUAAAUAUGGUGAGCCAAAAGUUGCAGGAAAAGAUGGUGUGCAUUGAUGCUACUAUAAAACACAUUGACGGGGUCAUAUUAUAUUUUAAGAAGUAUAGAGAUGAAGGCUUUCAAGCUAGUAUUGAGAUAGCAAAAGCCAUUGCAUCUGAUAUGGACAUAGAGCCAGAAUUUCCUUCAAAACGUCAACGGAAAAGAAAGAGGCAUCAUGAUGAAAUCAAUGAUCAAGAAGAAGAAAUACAAUUGUCAGCUAUGGAAUCCUUCAGAGUUAAUUACUUUCUAGUCAUUGUUGACAAUGCAAUUCUUUCAUUGACCAGCCGCUUUGAUCAGUUGAAGAAAUUUGAAAAGGUGUUUGGUUUCUUAUUCAAUUCAAAAAAUCUGAAGUCCUUGGAUGAUAGCAAACUACACGAAUGUUGCGCUACUUUUGCAAAAGCUUUUUCUGAUGAUAAAUCAUCUAAUGUUGAUCUUCAUGAUUUUGUCUCAGAGUUAAAAGUGUUGCAGGUAACUUCGCCAGAUGGUUUGAUGUCAGCGCUUGAGAUUCUUCAGUUUGUUAUGGCUGUAGAUUGCUAUCCAAAUGUCUCUGUUGCCUAUCGGAUCCUCUUAACAGUGCCUGUGACUGUAGCCUCAGCUGAAAGAAGUUUCUCUAAACUGAAACUACUGAAAAAUUAUUUGAGGUCAACUAUGUUGCAAGAUAGAUUGAAUGGCCUGACUAUGUGCUGCAUUGAGAAGGAUAUCUUGGACAAUGUUGAUCUUGAUUGUGCCCUUAAUGACUUCGCAUCACGAAAUGCCCGAAGAAACUUUUUUUAA
rnacentral:rRNA from 1 species